CCUACGGGUGGCUGCAGUGGGGAAUAUUGCACAAUGGGCGAAACCCUGAUGCAGCGACGCCGCGUGAGUGAAGAAGUAUUUCGGUAGGUAAAGCUCUAUCAGCAGGGAAGAUAAUGACGGUACCUGAGUAAGAAGCCCCGGCUAACUACGUGCCAGCAGCCGCGGUAAGACGUAGGGGGCAAGGUUUAUCCGGAUUUGCUGGGUGUAAAGGGAGCGUAGACGGCAUGGCAAGUCUGAAGUGAAAGCCCGGGGCGCAACCGCGGGACUGCUUUGGAAACUGUUAAGCUGGAGUGCAGGCGCGGUAAGUGGAAUGCCUAGUGUAGCGGUGAAAUGCGUAGAUAUUAGGAGGAACACCAGUUGCGAAGGCAGCUUACUGGACUGUAACUGACGUUGAGGCUCGAAAGCGUGGGGAGCAAACAGGAUUAGAUACCCCAGUAGUC
rnacentral:rRNA from 1 species